rnacentral:rRNA from 1 species
UUCGUGGAGGGUUCGAUUCUGGCUCAGGAUGAACGCUGGCGGCGUGCUUAACACAUGCAAGUCGAACGGGAUCUGACCAGCUUGCUGGUUGGUGAGAGUGGCGAACGGGUGAGUAAUGCGUGACCAACCUGCCCCAUGCUCCAGAAUAGCUCUUGGAAACGGGUGGUAAUGCUGGAUGCUCCAACUUGACGCAUGUCUUGUUGGGAAAGUGUUUAGUGGCAUGGGAUGGGGUCGCGUCCUAUCAGCUUG